GACGAACGCUGGCGGCGUGCUUAACACAUGCAAGUCGAACGAAGAGCGAUGGAAGCUUGCUUCUAUCAAUCUUAGUGGCGAACGGGUGAGUAACGCGUAAUCAACCUGCCCUUCAGAGGGGGACAACAGUUGGAAACGACUGCUAAUACCGCAUACGAUCUAACCUCGGCAUCGAGGAAAGAUGAAAGGUGGCCUCUAUUUAUAAGCUAUCACUGAAGGAGGGGAUUGCGUCUGAUUAGCUAGUUGGAGGGGUAACGGCCCACCAAGGCGAUGAUCAGUAGCCGGUCUGAGAGGAUGAACGGCCACAUUGGGACUGAGACACGGCCCAGACUCCUACGGGAGGCAGCAGUGGGGAAUCUUCCGCAAUGGACGAAAGUCUGACGGAGCAACGCCGCGUGAGUGAUGACGGCCUUCGGGUUGUAAAGCUCUGUUAAUCGGGACGAAAGGCCUUCUUGCGAACAGUUAGAAGGAUAGACGGACCGGAAUAGAAAGCCACG
rnacentral:rRNA from 1 species